rnacentral:rRNA from 1 species
CCUACGGGAGGCAGCAGUAAGGAAUAUUGGACAAUGCUCGCAAGAGUGAUCCAGCCAUGCCGCGUGCAGGAAGAAUGCCCUAUGGGUAGUAAACUGCUUUUGAACUAGAGAAAAUCCCAGUACGUGUACUGGGCUGAUAGUAUAGUUAGAAUAAGCAUCGGCUAACUUCGUGCCAGCAGCCGCGGUAAGACGAAGGAUGCAAGCGUUAUCCGGAUUCAUUGGGUUUAAAGGGAGCGUAGGUGGACUGAUAAGUCAGUGGUGAAAUCUCCGAGCUUAACUCGGAAAUUGCCAUUGAUACUGUUGGUCUUGAGUACAGUUGCUGUGGGCGGAAUAUGACAUGUAGUGGUGAAAUACAUAGAGAUGUCAUAGAACACCGAUUGCGAAGGCAGCUCACAAAGCUGUAACUGACACUGAGGCUCGAAAGUGCGGGGAUCAAACAGGAUUAGAUACCCUGGUAGUCCGCACCGUAAACGAUGAUUACUCGCUGCUAGGGGGCAACCUUUAGUGGCUUAGNGAAGAGAGUUAGUUAUACACGUUGGAGGACGCGGCGACGAGACGACAANAGAGUUAGAGGCGNGAGAGNGCGACGGACGACACGAGGGAGGAAGG